ACCUAAUAUGUAUCCUGCACUGAGGUCAUUGUUCCUAAACUGCUUAUAAUCCAAUCAGGGAUAAAUGAUUUAAAAACAUUAAAUGAAUUGCAAGAUUGAAUCAGAUUAAGCUCUAAAAUAUAGUUGGCAAAGACAGUAAAGUGUAGUGGGAAGAAAACUAAAGUCAGAACACGUAGGUUCUAGUUCUAGCUAUCACUAACUGAUUGCAAAACUGGCCAAGUCUCUUAACCAAAACCAGAAAAUUGGAGGAUUAGUCUACAUGAUUUCUAGGAGAAUUUAGAACUCUGUGACUAAGUGCUAUGUGGGCAGAGUUAGGAAGAAAUCUAUCUGGGCGGGAUUUGUUGGGUAAGACUUCCUGGAAAAGAAAAAUUGCAAUUUGAGAUGAGCCUUAAGAAUAGGUGGGAUUUUUUAUUCAGAAGUUAAAAAUGAGAACAUUGGCCAAGUUCGAAACUUUAGUAAAGUGGGGAGGUAGGAAUGAAUGGUUUGCAGCACAACAAAGACUCCAACCUGAACACAGCAGCCAGCGAGCAAUGGGAGGUGCCUGGGUAGGCCACGUUGUAGAGGACGGUUUGGACACCAGGCUGUCCACACUUACUCGGAAACAGUGGGAAGGAUGGAUGAGUGGGAAAUAUAUUGGAGAGAAGGUGACAAGCUAGGAGGCUGUGACAGUGGCCCAGGUAUGAGUUAAGUAAAUUCAGACUAGCGUAGCUGAAGAGUAAGUAAAAAAAGUGAUAAAUCUGAGAGGCAUUUUGAAGUAGGGGUUGAAUAUAGAAAAAAAAAAAAAAAGGAAACAAUCUAAAAUAGCCACCAACGCUUCAAUGGAGAUUUUGAUUACAGGGUAUUUUGGAGGGAAACAGUCUGCUGGGGAGAUUUGUAAUUUCAUUUUUAGACUUGUUCAGUUUUACUAGGAGACCUCUAAAUUGAAGAUGUCUUUGUAGGCAGUGAGAAGUGUGACUAUUGUUGUCAGGAUCAGAUAUACAGAGUUUUUCACCAACUACUGAGGCAGUAGUUGAAACCAUAAAAGUAGGUGUUGUCUAUGAAGGAGAAUAUCACAAACAGAAAGACCUACAGAUAAAUUAUUAGAUUGAAAAAAAGGAAUCAUAAGUCUUUUUCAAUUCCCAUUUAUUCUAUUUUAGCUUUACAAUUUAUUGUUUCCAACUUCAAUCCAUCCCUUAUAGUACUUCUUUGACCUGCAACGUGAAUCUCUUUUUUGCAUACAUGUAGCAAGUUAGCUAUACUGAGGUAAUAAUCUCAGCCUCAGUGGCUGAAAAGUACUUCUUGCUUACUCUUCCUGCUUGUCACUUCCACUUUCAUUUUUAUUGGCUAAGCAAGCCACAUAGCCACACAGCCACACGAAACUUGCAGAGGCCGGAAGUGCAAUCCUUCCAAGUGCCUUAAUGGAGAGUGGGAAUAUUUGUGAAAAGUUCUAUCAGUGACCAUAAUAACAAAAUUUUUUCCUUAGCCUGUUUCUAUUUAAAACCAUGCCCCUUCCACUCUUUUAUUUGUAUAAUCACUAAAGUGUUCUUAGUGUCAACAUUUUAUAGCCAGGAAUCCCAUAGCAUAAUUCUUACAUGAACAAGUUAUUUCUGCUUCUUUUCUCUUUGUUUUCUUCUUAUUUUGAUGCUAAGCUUUCCCUUGGUUCCAUGGUUGGCUCUCUUCUCAUUCUUUUCCCUAUUCUUGGAACUGAGGAGACUCGAGAAAACGCUACAUCCAUAAUGAAAACAAUCUUUACUCCUUUUUUCUCUUCCCUUUUGUUCCACUUCUCUUCCUUCUCUCGAAAGAAUAAAUUCCUUUGCUCUGGGUCCUGUCACACUUCCUUCCACUUUCUCACUUCUUUAUCACUCUGAGUUUAAGGCCAUAGCACAGAAAAAAUAAUCAGCUGACAAGUAAUAGAUAUGACUCAAUCCAUUAUUUAUCCUGUCUGACAUUAAUUAGGUGGUUGCCCUGAUUUUUAAUCUGCACCCAUCCCAUAAACUGUUGACUUGAUUAACUCUGAUCAGAAUCAAUUUCUUCUUCCACCAAAAUCCCAUUAAAUGUUGUUUGAACCUCUACUGUUGAUUAUCACAGUCUUCCCAGUCUCAGGGUUAUUUUUAUAUAUGGUCCCUCAUUAAAUUGCUUAUAGAUUAAGCAGUGAUUUGCACAUAAUAGAUAUUCAAUAACUGUCAAUCCACUGAUGAAUGCUAUAUUUGGCUGAAUUGGCUAUUGGUUUUGGUAACAUUUGGGUAUAGCUUGACUCAACAAUUGGCUUACUAGACUUCUGCAUGUAUCUAGGGGAUAAAGGAAUAUAUGUUAUUUUUCUUUUGAUGCUCUCUCUACGUCUAACUUCCCUUAUUAGACUGUAGCUGUUUGUUUACAAUUCCUACUACACAUACUUCUUAAAGGGCUUGAGUAAAUGUAUUAGACAGUAAAUUCCACUUAUUUAUACAUCUAUUUAGUGAUUUAUUCAGUAGCCACUUAAUGAGUGCUUAUGAUAAACUAGGGUUAGGUGUAGAAAGUCUAAUAAGACAUGAUUGUCUAUUUCAAAGAGCUUAUAGGCUGGGAGCAAGUGAAAGACAGAAAGGUAAAGCAAUUGUAAUAUAGUGUGAUAAGUGCUAUGAAGCAUUUAAAUCAGACUAGGGUUCUUGGGAAAUGGGAUCCCUGGAAUUAGGUCUGAGAUUAAGAGAAGAAGGUAGCUGGGGAAUUGGAGGUGAAACAGCAGUUCUUUAUGAGAGGAAACAUGGCAUAUACCAAAACACUAAUAUGGGCAACAAAACCGCAGCUGAAAUUACUCAAGAAAUUUUAUAUGAUGGUUGCACAACUCAAAGAAUGUAAUCAAUGUCACUGAAUUAUACAUGUAGAAACUUGAAUUGGUGUACGUUUUUGCUGUGUGUAUUCUGAACAACAACAAAAUUUCAAAUAAAUUAUUUAAAAAAAGAGAAAUUCAAUAUGACUAGAACAUGACACCCAAGUUAAAAGAUGGCAAGACCUCCAUGAACAAUUGCUUCCUUUGCCAUGAGACCAGAAGAACUGGAUGAUGCCCAGCUACCGUUACUGAAUAUUUUGAUCAAAGAUUCCAUAGAAGAAUCCUGAUCAAAAAAGGAGAAAAUGCAGAACAGAAUUUCAAAUUCUCAUGGACUCCAGACUUUCUGAACCAUGGAGGCUAGUAGAUGAACCUCUGAAGCUCUUGCCCUGAGGUAAUCUUUAAACCUUAAACCAAAAAUAUCUCCUGAGGCUUCUUAAAAGCAAAUAGUUUGGCUUAACUAGUGAAAAAAAGGUCUGCCUUGAGCAUUAUGUUCUUUUAAGAUCUAUCUAUAUGGAAUCAAAUUGAAAACAGCAACUGGAAAGAUUAGAUAGGAACCUUAGGGGGCUGUGAGUUUGUUAAUGAGGGAGGAACAACUCAGAAAAGGAGGGUAAGAAUGGUUGCACAACUCGAAGAAUGUGAUCAAUGUCACUAAAUUGUACAUGUAGAAAUUGUUGAAUUGGUGUAUGUUUUGCUGUGUAUAUUCUUAACAACAAGAAAAUAAAUAAAAUUUAGAAGAAAAAAAAAGACGGGAAGAGACUAGAGAGAUGACAAAGUCUCAGAUCUAAAAGGAGCUUGUGUGGAACAUGUUCAAACUCCCCUCCUAGGCAAGUGAGGUCUAGGAUGCUAUAUGGGCACUAUAAUUCCAGAAGCUGGGUCUGAUUAUCGGUGUGAUGAGAUUUCCGCAUACACUGCAGGGAAUGGAAUGAGAGGAUCUGAAAGUAGGGGCUUAGUGGCCAAACCAGGAUUAAUUUAAAGCUGAAAGGAAAAACUCGGAUUAACUAAUAUGAAACAUUAACUGGAGUUACCAGGACAGAGCAAAUGGGUCAGAGUAGAGGGUAAGAGGCACAGCCGGAAGUGAUUUCUUAAAACCUCCUCUACCCUUUCUGGGCUCCUUCAGCCUUGUCUCUGGGUGGGAGAGGAAUACUCUGAACACAUUUGAACCCAAGGCUUUCUAAGAACUUUAAGCAGAUGACCUGUUGUUACUCUCUUCUUAACUCCAGGCACACAGCAUCUUGUCAUGUCCUGUGAGCCCUCCUUCUUCUAUAUCUGGCCCAGAGUAAUUCCUCAGUAAAUAUUUACUGAAUGCCAUGGACUUGCUGCUAAUCACUAAGCAUAGCAAUGCUGUUGUUUAGUUUACUCUUAUAUUAUGCAAGUAUAAGGGCAUAAGAAAACCAAUUUCGUGCAAACCCACAAGAACUUGCUCCUCUCUUUUAUUUAUCUUAAUAACUAUUUACCAGCCAUUCCAAGGUAAAACUAACCUUUUUCCAACAGUGUCUCAGGCAUACAAAUUUAAAUCAUAUAUGUUAAGAAAUAAAACAAUAGCAAACAAACACGAAAAAGAAGAGCCGACUAAAACGUAAGAACAAAAUAACACAAAUAGUUUAGCAGUAAUUUUGUAGUAUAAGUAAAUUUGAUGGAAACUCUGGUGGCGUAGUAUUUGUAGUAUAAGCCUCUGUAGCAAUAAUAAUCCAGAGAUAGCAGUGAGACUAUCGUAAAACAUGGAGUUAAACAAUACAAAACAUAAUGGAAAUCACAAAUUGUGUGUGUACAUAUGUGUAAGCUCCCAAUCAUAACUGAAAUGGAGUGGCUAGAGGUAACAGUAAUAAAAAGCUAGAAUUUCCUGGGGAGAAGCUUCACCAUCUGCCUGUCAUUCUAAAGUUGGGGGAAAAUAGGUAAGUUUGGGCCAGCCAAUCAGGAAAGAAUGCUGUAAAUGAAUAACAGUUCAACAGGGUAUGACCUGUCUGGACACAUGUCACAAUGGUGCCAUCAUGAGACAAGACCACAUAAUAUGAAAAGCAAGGAAGUACAAAUUUCAAGUGAAGACCAAACUGGGAAGAGCUGCAGAGCUUCCUGGAAUACCCUUUCUCCAUACCAGAGACAUCCAAUGUAUCUUGUGACUGUGCACCAUUACCUUAGCAUUUAAGCUUGUACUAUUUCAGUUUUUAUAUGAAUUUUCUGACCCAGAUUUCAGGAUGAUUCAUUCAUGCUUAAUAACAUAACCAGAUAACAGAAAUCAGAAUUCUUUCUCUGUAAAGAUACCCCUGUACUGGCAGGAACCUCUGGUUAAAUUAUCUUUCUAAUCUUACUAUUGUAUAUAUUUGGUGAAAAAUUAGUGUCUAGCAGAAUCUCACAGUUUCUCUGAGUGUGCGUGUGUGUGAUAAAUUAUGAGAAGUUAGGAAUAAUGGUUUUGGUAUUUAUAAGGGGUAAAUCCGGUUCUCUUCCUCAAACAUUUCAGGUCUAGAGUUAGUAGUUGCUCUGUUCUUCUUCAUAUUCUUUACUUCCUUCAAACUUAGAGUAAAACUCUCUGUUUGGGAAACCCCUGUCGACCCCACCCAACUCAGUUACCUCUCUACUUGGCUCUGUCAGACACUUUAUUUUCUGAACAUUCUAUAAGGCAAUGGAGUGUCACAGAAGGUUUUGAAGACUAAAAGACAUGGUAAAAUUUGCCUUUUAGGUAAUCACUGGCCAGAGGCUAUGUGGAAGAUAAAUUUGAGGGAGGGGGCUAUGUGGCGUAGUGCCGAAAAGCACAGACCCUGGAGUCAGUUCAACCUGGGUUCAGAUAUAGUUUCCACCACUUAUUGGCUGUACAGCCUUGAACAAGUUACUCAUUCUCUCCAAGCCUGCACUUCUUCUACAGGGGUAAUAGUAAUAUUUUUCAAUUGUGGCAUGUUUGUAAAGUGUGUAAUAUAAAGAGUGGCACAAAGUAGCCACUCAGUAAGCGGUGGCCAUUAUGUUUAACUGCUGUGAUACUCUCUGAAUAUGUUUUUCAGUUGUUUCCUGGCUAUUAACUAGAUUUUAAAUUCCUUCUGGUCAACAACUGGUACAAACAAUUAAGUACUCAGCUAGUAACCAAAAGGCUGGCAGUUCAAAUCCUCCCAGAGGUGCCUCAGAAAAAAGACCUGGCAAUCUACUUCUGAAUGAUCACAGCCAUUGAAGACCCUAUGGAGCGCAGUUCUGCUCUGAAACUCAUGGGGUUACCAUGAGUCAGGAUGAACUCAAUGGCAACUGGCUUGGUUUUGGUUUUUAGUUAAAAACUCUUUUAUUUCCCAUUAAGGGCACCUGAUACAUGUCUGUCUCCCAGUCCUGACUAGAGGGUUACUCAAGUGCCAUCCCAUUUCAACUCUGGGGCAAGCUUAUGACAAAAGAAUAUAGACUAGGCCAAGUUGGUCUUUGGCCUUUGACAUGCAAUCCUUUUCUUUUUAGUGCUCCUGAGACCAUAUUCACUCUAGGCUUCACUUUCUGGACGAAUGCCCUGAUUCAGUGCCACCCACCCACGCCACUCCUCUUCAGCCCUAGCUAACACAAGUCCUUCAUUGAAACUUACUCUGCCAUGUCAUAUGCAUCCUUUCUGGCUCUGAGCCUUUGGUAAUUCAUUUAAUAUAUUCGACAGACUUUUACUGAGUGCUUACAACGUGCCAGCAACUAGGGAAGCAAAGUAAGAGAUAUAGUCUUUAUACUCUAAUAGUUCAUACUCUGUUUAUGCUUUAAAACAGUGCUGUGAUCAGAACUAUCUAUGAAGUUUUUAAAAAUACAAACGCUUAUGUCCCACCUAAUUUAGUAAAUCUGCGUGGGAUUUGGGGCCCUGAUGGAACAGUGGUUAAUAGUUUGACUGCUAACCAUAAAGGCCGGCAGUUCAAAUCCACUAGCUGCUCCUUGGAAACCCUGUGGGACAGUUCUAUUCUGCCCUAUAGGGUCGUUAUGAGUUGGAAUCAACUCAAUGGCAGUGGGUUUGGUUUUGGGCGGGAUUCAGAUGUAUAAAAUUUCUAAACCUUCCUCAGAGAUUUUACUGUGUAGCUAGGGUUGAGAAAUACUGAAUGUGUCAGAAGUAGAAAGAAAAUAGGAACAUGUAGGUGUUGAGUGGGGUCAUAUUAGAGAUGUAAGUUGUAUGCUGAAGGAUGAAUACCUUUUCAAGAGGAGAAGGGCUUUCCAGGAAAAGAAAGUUGAUGAGUACAAAGUGUAGUGGAGAUUUGUCAGCUUUCAUUAAUGCUCGUGAUCAAGCUGGAUAACACAGGCUGAGCUUUUUUAUUGAACUGGUUUUGCUUGACUGAUUGUUUUUAGGCCACUCCCUCAAUCUCUACUUCUAAACAGCAUGAUCUAGAGCGCUAGCAGUUAUCUGGUUAAUUGGACCAGUGUGAACUACCAGCAUAGAUAAGAAUAAUACUGAAUUAACCACAAGAGCAUAAAUCAGGGUCAAAUCCAAAAUUAGAUCCCAAGAUUAUUAGACCAUACUAUGAUUAAGCCAAAGUCUGAAGAAGUCUAGCCAGCUAGUUCCCAAACAUUAUGAGUAGAUAUGGGGGAGAGGUACCAUGGCUGAGCACCCAUCCCAGCAAUGAAAGAAUUGUAUCAUAUAUACCCUGUUCUCUACAGGUUAUGUAAAUCUUCUCCCUCAGGCACCCCUGCUCCCCAGCAGUGACUGGACCAAGGCCUCUAACUGGUCCAUGGUGCUAGGAUGAUUCAUAGACAUACUCAGAAUUCCAGAGUCCGUGUGGAAUUUCUUUGGAUUCCUCUUCAUUGUAGCCUACUCUUUAACCCCUUCUCUCAGAUCCAUUUCUUCUCCAUGAGCUGGUUGGAGACAUGUACCAGGGUUCUAUGUAUAUGAAAUCUAGAUUGACCACCUUGGGAAGCCACUGUAGCAGUGAGAAGUCCAGGUCAGAGACUCUGUCCCUCAUCACUAGGAAAUAAUCUAGAUAAAAGGACUCUCCUAAAGAUAGGAAAGGAAGCAGAUGCUCUAGCUCAGUCCUGGGACAGUAGUUGAUCAUGAAUGGACAGGAAUUUUCUUUAGUCAGACAUUGGAAAAUGCAACUCAAAUGUUCUCUAACUCAAGCUGGAGGGAAAGUUCCCCAAGUCCCUUGACAAAGAGAUCUUUAAGAAACUGAGAAAAUAGGUCUAAUAAAAAUUUAACUGUAGGAAGGCCAAGAGGAGGAUCAUGAAAAUAGCAGUUGUAACUCUGCCUGCACAGUACUGCCUGCCCCCCCACCCACUUCAGGGAGAGCAGCAUCAGUAAGUAGAGCCAUGUGGAUGAAGAAAAGAGACCCAAACUCAAUUGGGCAGUGUUAAACCCGAAGGCCAGAGAAACUCACAGGGAGCAACAACAGGAAAACAGCAGAGUCUGUGAGGCUGUGGAGUUGAGACAUGGGCUGCCCAGCUUCAGGAAUUUCAAUGUAGACCAGUGAUAAGAGAGGCUGCCAAGGACCCUGGUAGGGUUCCUGCUUUGGGCCUGCAUACUUUUCUGCUUCUUUAAAUGACUUUGCAUUGAUUUUUUCUCAUCUUUUCAUACUGAUUUUAUCUACUUAUAUAUGUAUUUGUAUAUUUAUUUAUUCAAACCUGAGUUUUACUGGUGUCUGUAUUCUACCACGUUUAUUUAGUGAUGCUGAAAAGCAUUUCCGAAAAGAAAUGCUGUACUCAGUAUUUAUUUCGCAAGGCACUAUAGCAAAAAUGGCUAAUAGUUUGGGCUCUGGAGCUAGAAGGAUUCAAAUCCUAGUUCUGUCAUUUACUAUCUAUAUGCAUGUGGGCAAGUUCCUUAACCUUUCUAAGCUUUGAUUUUCUCGUCACUAAAAUGGGAAUAAUAAAACCUAUGUUACAGAAAUGUUUUGAGGAUUAAAUGAGAUGAAUGUAGGUAAAGUGCUUAGAUUAGUGUCUAAAUAUUAGUAAUUCUCAAUAAAUGUUAUUCUUCCUUCUCAUUAUUAUUAGGGCUUGAAGGUUCACAAAGCACUGCCAUAUGUAUUUUCUCAUUAGAAUUAUUGAGUAUUGAUAUACAAAGUGAGUUAGGAAUGCAAAAGAAGAUUUACAAGAAAAGAGAGAGACUGGUGAAGGAGAGGUCUCUUCCUUCUCUUUACUCUGAUAUCUAACGUUAGAUGAAGUCUAUAAGCUGUCUCAAAGUUCUAGGUGUCAUGUCUCUCUUCCUUUCCCACCUACCGGCUCUCAUCUCCCUUCCUCUUAACGUCAGGGUUGGAACAUCCCAACAUGGGGCAUGUCACUGUUCCAGCAUAACGCCCUCUCCACUUCUCUUAACCAUUGAUUCUUUCUCCAUCUUACUCAGAGAACAUCUGAACCCCUCUGAGGGCAGCAAGAGCACAGCCCACAGUACUCAAUCUCUAACAGACUUCUCUCUGGGGGAAAUGCCCAGUGCAGUGGGGAGGCCUGGGUAAAAGCCUCAGCGUCACCCACAGUGUUUCCCCGUUUCCUCUUAUCUGGGGUUUCUUUUGUGGUGUGGCUGGGGAAAUCCAGCUCAGUCAUCUCUGAAGAUCUUCACGUUAAAAGCUUGAUCUUCCAUCAUGCUUGCUUUUGGUAGGCAGAGGUAGGAAAAUUUACUGUCCCCGCCCACACCUAGCAUUUCAUGCUCAUCUGUUCAACUCAUUGAAAUGUUCUGCCCUCUUGGAAGAAAAUAUACCAUCCCUAUAGUCCCCCAAAUUAGUUGAAAUAAGAGUUCAACCUUCAGGAGGGUAUAUACACAGAAUAGUUAUGCUUGACAUACUCUUUACACAAAAAUCUUCACCAGUCGCCAGCUAUGGAUUAUCACCCCUACCAGGUCAACUCCUGUACUCCUGAGAAUAGCACCUGAAGAGACAGGCAAGUCUGGCCCAAUCCCUUGCUAGGCCACUUAAAACAAAGUUAUUAUAGAGUUACUUGAUAUAAAAAAAUCACUAACUGGCAUUAAAUAAGCAGAUGGACUGUGAAAGCUGAAAAUUCCCUGUGCCACCAAAGUUCCUAUCUUUUGAAUGGCCUUCACCUUUCUAAUGGCAGUUGAAGAGAUCAGAGGUCUUUCUGCAGAGACUCUUGUCUACAACAUCCACCAAGGUGUCUGUGAUCUAUUCAUGCCUUUGGCUCCUGUUUUGAACCUCAAUUGUGGGCUCCACUUCUAGCUCUGCCAUUUCAGGCAUAUUUUCAGUUGAGUAUUCAGCAAUAUAAAUUUCUUUAAAACUCAUAACCUACAUGCAGACUGUUCAAUCUCUUAGCUGACAGGAGAUCCAAAAUGGUACUUCAAUUCCCUUGGCAUAGCUGUCUUUUUCUCCUCCUUGAUCCAAUAUGCCCCCUGGCUAUCAUUUUUAUUUUUCAGGAAAUAGAACCAACUUUAGAGUUAGUUCCUUUGAAGAUUCUUCCUCACCCUUUCCAUUAAUCCACAGACCUUCUACUCCUUCCCAGUGAUAGCAACUGUAGUAGGCUGAAUAGUGGCCACCCAAAGAUAUCAGGUCCUAGCUUUGGACCCUGUAAAUGUUACCUUAUUUGGAAAAAGAGUCUUUGCAGAUGUGAUUAAGGGUUUUGAAAUGGGGAGAUUAUCUCAGACUGUCAGGGUGGGUCUUUAAUGCAAUCACAAGUAUCCUUUAUAAAAAAGAGAAGACGAGAGAUAUUUGACACACAAAGAAGGGGAUGUAAAGACAGAGCAGAGAGGCAUUUGAAGAUGCUGGCCUUGAAGACUGGUGUGAUGCAGCCACAAGCCCAGGAAUGCCAGGAGCCAUUAGAAGCUGGAAAGAGGAAGGAAAUGGAUUAUCCCUUAGAGCCUCCAGAGGGAGCGUGGCACUGCUGACACCUUGACUUCAGCCCAGUAAUAUUUGAUUUCAGACAUCUGGCCUCAAGAACUGUGAGAGAAUAAAUUUCUGUUGUUUUAAGCCACCCAUUUAUGGUAAUUUGUUACAGAAGCCACAUGAAACUAAUAUACCAGCUGUGCCCCAAACCAUCUUUCCACUGCCUUUGACUCACUGUUUCAUGCUCAGUUUCAUUAAGUGUUAAUUUCAAGUUACUCUGAUGGCCAUCACCAUCCUUGCUCUCUUUUCCAGGAAAGGAAACCAUUUUUACCAACAACAGCAUAUGAUGUUUUCCAAAAGUUCUAUAGUAAAAAAGUUUUAGACUUCUGAGAUAGCUCUUUUCUCUGUCACUAAUUUAAUUAAUGGCAAAGAAAGUAUUGUGAAAGCUGGUAAACAUGGUACUCUCUGAAGCAAAAUUCUCCAUUAAUCACCCAAUACUUCUGAGAUCUUCAGUACAAUGAUGGUCUUCAUAAUGAUGCCUUUAAGACUUGCAAAACCCUGAAAAUCUUUCCAAGGCCUCCAAAAGGAAGAUUACGUUUACCAAACAGUCUCUAUGUCCUUAGAAAAAGUAUAGCCAUUUAACCUGUCUGGAUCAUUGCACGGUACUUAGGUUACACAGAGAGAAGGUCAUAAAGCCCAGAGGCUAACAGUCUGAGGAGAAAUGGAAAGAUCAAGGGAUUGGAGAUCUUAGUGAGGUAAAAGUAAAAGCAGAGGAAUGAAAGAGCUGGAAUGGAAAGGGAUGAUCAGAGGAGUUGGCACAAUUUAAGGGUUGGAGCUAUUGUGGGUGAUGUAAGGUCCGGAGAAGUGAUUCAGGUGGCUAAAAGUAAGGUGAUGGCAAAGGGCAUUGGUGUUGGCAGGUCACUGAACUGGGAACCCAGGGUGUUGGAUAGAUCUUCCAUAUGGACACUGAGUUUUUCUAGGAUGCAUGAAGCUAGGAUAUAGGGGGAAAAGAGAACACUGUGACCAGGAUGACAAAAUUCUUAGUAAAUGAAGAAUAGUGAUCAGGAUGUUGAAGGAUACUAGAUACAGGAGAAUUAGAAGGGGAAUUUCAAUAGGGGUUUUUCAACGGGGUGAAAUAAAUUAGAGAAAUGAAAAAAAGGAGAACAAAAAAAGGGGUUGCUAAAAUUGGGGCUAAGGGAUUAUUAGGGAACUUCAAAAGGUGGUUAUAGUGACAAAAGCCAGUUUUCCAGAAGUUACUCUCUAAGUCUUUUUCCCUUCCUUUCCAUUUCUAAAGUAGUUCAGGCCUUUACUGCCUUGAGUAUAAACUGGCUUCCCUGAUUCUAGUUUCACUUCAUUCUAGCCUUCCUGCAUACCAGUAACAGACAAAUCUUCCUUACACUUAUUAUGAGUAUGUCACUCCUCUGGUCAAAACUCUGCAGUCAGAGUCAAGAGAGCUACCCAAAAAAAAGUAAUCCAAGAGAAAGAUGACCCAUCAUCUCAUCCGCCCAGGACUGAGGGGUUUCCCAGGAUGCAGGUGUUUCAGUGCUAAAGCUGGGAAAAUCCCAGGCAAACAAGGACAAGUUGGUUAACCAAGAGAAUUAAUUCCAAGAGAAAAAAAGAAAAUGUCUCUGUUGUUAUCCAAAGGUCCAGAAGGGUUAAUAAUAUCUAUCAGAAUAUCCCUACAUACAAACCCCAUAUUGCCAGUAAAUUUAGCACCGAAACUUAAGCACAGUGAAAUCACAGAACAAAAUGAUCCCUGAAACCUCUUACAAUUUCCUGGUUUCCAUAAUAAAAUUUCUAAAAGCUGAAUCCCCAGAAUUCAAUCUGCUUUACCUAUUACAAUAUAGAACCAUAUUGUGAUUACCAGUGACAAAGUGACCAACUCUCUCAGUUAACACGGAAAUUCCCACAUCCCGGGCAAACCCACCACCUUGGUCACUCACAACCUUAUAAGCUUUUUUAGGAAGCAGGGACAGAAGAGAAAAAGAGAAUGGCUUCAUUAACUCAGCUUCUCCAGAUUUUCUGUCAAUUUCUGAUAGCUGUUUCAGAUUUCAUCGUCUGUGAACCCAAAGAAUAUUUCUAUCAAAAGAUUAAUUGUGAUGGUAUUAGACUAACUGGUUAAUGAAGUAGGGGGGGAAAAAAGCCAUAAGCAGUAUCAUCAAAAUUAUAAGGCAAACAGCAACAAAAUUGGGAAAACAUGUUUACAACAGUAUAACACUCAAAGAGUCGGCAUCCUUAUUGUACAAAGAGAUUUUAUACUCUGAUAAAGAAAAAAGCAAGCAUUCUAAUAAAAAAAAUAGGCAAUGAAUAUGAACAGGGGAUUUACAAAAGUAUUCAAAGUGAAAUAAUCAAAGAAAUAAAGUUUGUCUAGUCAGUUAUCUAGAUGGUGUGAGGAAUUGAACACUCUCCUACGCUGCUAAUCAUUGUAUAAAUGACUGUCAACAUACAACAAAACCUUAAAAUAUGUAUACACUUUGACUAACAAUUCUACUCCCAGGAAUUUAUACUUAGGAAAUACUCCAGAGGAAAUAGCAAUGUAUCCUGCAGCCUUAGUUGUAAUAGGAAAUUAGAGAAAUAUUCUACAUGUAGGAGAUUAAAUAAGUGUUAGGAUACCAUAUGAUGGAAUACACUUUAAAGUUAUCAAAAAUGGUAAUGAAAUAUUUUAUACUUCAUUGACAUGAAAAGAUCUCUACAACAUAUUGUCAAGUUUUAAAAAGUUACAUACAACCUGUAUCAUAUGAUCUCAUGUACAUAAAUGUGAGGGGAAAUAUUAAGUAGUAGAUCAGGGUGAAACUUUAGCCCCACACCGUCCUGCACUCAGAGCUCUGGGCUCAGGCACUUACUGACUACAGAAACUUGGGCAAGUUGUGUAACUCCCAUAAGCCUUAGAUUCUCAUCUAUAAAUUCAGGGUAAUAAUAGUAUCUACCCCUCAGGGAAGCUGUGAAAAUUAAAUAACUUAAGCAAAGUUAUCAGUAAUAGUAAAGAAAUUUGUCUAAAGAAAUUACUAAAAUAUUAAUUAAUAGUUGUCUUUGGAUAGUGAGUUUUGGAGUGAUUUAUGACCUCUUUCAUACUUUUACUUUUCUUGUGAACUUAUUAGAUGCAGCCUUUAUUUGGUGAUGAAGAUACCUGCCUCACAUUGGCUUCGCGUUCCUUCAAAUGCCACGUUCCUACUUCUUGAAUUAAGAAUAUAUAUGAACAUAAUAUUAAACUUUUACUCAAGGAACUAGUAAAACCGUUUUUAUUUAUUAUUUUCAAAGAAAAAGAUUAAAACACUUUUGUAUUGUUUGAAAUUUUAGAGUGAGAAUGCAUCGAUUUAUUACUUGAGGAAUUAAAAAAAAACAGACUGCCGGAAGAUAGACUCAAAUAUUAAAAUAAUUAAACUGUGGAUGGUAGGAUUACAGAUGACUUCUUUCCUUCUGUACAAUCCUUCACUUUCUAAGUUCACAACAAUGCACAAGUAAUACUUUUAUGAUAAGAAAUAUUAUAAAGGGAAAAAAAUUAUGACGUAGAUCGUUCACUGGCAUUGAAGUAGCUCCACAAAUAGGCUACUUGGUGAGAUGAAACUACAAAAUAGAAUGUAAAGUUAGGAUGGUUUUUGUUUUCACACACACACAUACGUAAAAACAGUGAAAGUUCAUACAUCACAAUGUUAAUAAUGGUUACCUUGGAGUGGUAGGAUUAUGGCUAAUUUUUGUUUUACUUUCUGUUUUUCGAUGCUUUCAAAUUUUCUGCAUUAAUCAGUUAUGAAUUUUAUAAUGAGAUAAAAAGAUAAAUAUUAUUAAAUGAAUAAGAGAGGUUAGAGACAAUGAAGAGGUACGUAAAAUCCCAGUGGAGUAUGGGGAGAACCCUGUGCCCUGCCUGGGCCUGGAUGCAGAGGAGACUGCACAGAUUCCCAGCAUCCCAGGGAGAUGUGGGAGUGUAAAUACAGUUUUUUGUUGUUGUUGUUGCUUUAUGAUGAAACACCACCCCCGCCCCGAAAAAGAGAGAGGUGCUUAAAAGAUUAGAAGAAGAACUUAUUUGGGCCAGAACAUCUAGGCAUUCACAUUAGAAUAUCAGGUAGCAUGUUGUAAUAAUUAUGGGGCUCCUAUAAAAAAAAAACAAACUUGAGUAUAAAGAAUUUUUAAAAAAAAGUUCUAUGAACGAAUGAGGAAAAAUUAAGGCUAGAACUGUGGCGCUCUGACACCCGUAUGCUAGGGUAUGUCUAACACCUGUAUAGGCUGCCUGCACUCCCAAAAAGUUGCAUCUAAACACCACUGUGGAGUAUCAAAACUAGGAAUUUACAAUAUUGUCAUCCCUAGGCCCUUCACAGGUGUUUUUCAUUCCUGUAGAUUAAAUAACUUUCCAGGGUCCCAGAUUCAUGCUUUUCUACUUCUUCCCUCCUAAAUUAAGUGAGGUUCAGCUCUGUCUAAGAAUGCAGUCUUUAUUUUGUGGUGGAGAAUGUACCUGCCUCACACUGGCUUUGCAUUCCUUCAAAUUCUGGGCUUCUGCUGGUGGCACUGCUCUGGCCUCAGAAGCAGAUCAUGCCAAGGCCAGAUCCUGCUGCCUCCUUGAGAAUGAGCCCCACAAAUGUACUGUGAGGUGCUUUUGUAGACUCGACUGCUCAAGGACACCUUUUCUGGUGCAGAAAUAGAUCUCUGUCUCUGCCAAUACCUGGUAAUCACUGAAGCUUUGAGCAAGAUCCCCUCUUGGCAAGGAUCCUGCUCAUGAACUUCCUGCCCCGUAAAUCCUAGUCCCCUAUGUGACCACACCACAUGCUAGUCAUGUACUGUAAGGAGGUUUAAAAAUAAUCUGACCACAAUUCCGAGUCAUGCAUGUGGCUGCACAAGCUUCUCAGCCCACACAUACACAAAGGACACUCCCCGCUAAUUGCCAGCUCAGACUUGGCCCCAGACUCUAUCAGGUCUCUUGUCCCAGCAGUGAAGCUAGACAAUGCGGACUUCUCAUGAAUACGUUUGCCCUUCUGCCUGAAGAAUGUCCCAGACACCAAUCACAAGGCAAGAAAGGGGUAGGUAAAAAACAGCAUUAUAAGGGCUAACCAAAGCCAAGAGCCCCCAGAGAGCAUUGCCAGGGGAAAUAUUGUCUCAGCCACUUUCACUUAUAAUUACUUUAUUCUUUCAGAAAAAUCUCCUGCCUCAACCCCGUAGAAUCAUUCUGUUUCUCCAAAAUCUCCAUUUUGUCCUGGAUUCACUUCCAGUAACCCUUUUUCUUUGGAAUGAAGGAAAUCUGGAGCUCCCCCUGGAGAUUUCCUGGACUCCAGUCAACGAAGUUACUCCCAGUGUCGUCCAAUGGUCUUGGCUCGUAGCUCUAUUAUUUUCAUAAUCUCUGGCGCCCUGGCUGGAUGACAUACCAGGGUCACCUAUGGAGGACAGGUUUCAGCUGAGCUUCCAGACUAAGACAGAUUAGGAAGAAGAACCACGCAGUCUACAUCUAAAAGAAUUAGCCAGUGAAAACCUUAUGAAUAGCAGUGGAACAUUGUCUGAUACGUAGCAGAAGAUGAACCCCCCCCCCCAGGUUGGAAGGCACUCAAAAGACAACUGGGAAGAGCUGCCUCUUCAAAGUAGAGUCGACCUUAAUGACAUGGAUGGAGUUAAGCUUUCGGGACCUUCAUUUGCUGAUGAGGCACAACUCAAAAUGAGAAGAAACAGCUGCAAACAUCCAUUAGUAAAUCAGAACAUGGAAUGUACAAAGUGUGAAUCUAGGAAAAUUGGAAAUUAUCAAUAAUGAAAUGGAGCUCAUAAAGAUAGAUAUCCUAGGCAUUGGUGAGCUGAAAUGGACUAGCAUUAGUCAUUUUGAAUUGGACAAUCAUAUGGUUUAUUAUACGGGGAAUGAGAACUUGAAGAAGAAUAGUGUUGCAUUCAUCAUCAAAAAGAACAUUUCAAGAUCUGUCCCGAAGUACAAUGCUGUCAGUGAUAGGAUAAUACUCAUAUGCCUGCAAGGAAGACCAGUUAAUAAGACUAUUAUUCAAAUUUAUGCACCAACCACUAAGGCCAAAGAUGAAGAAAUUGAAGAUUUUUACCAACUUCUGCAGUCUGAAAUUGACCAAACAUGCAAUCAGGAUGCAUUGAUAAAUUACUGCUGAUUGGAAUGUGAAAGUUGGAAACGAAGAAGGAUCGGUGGCUGGAAAUUAUGGCUUUGGUGAUAGAAACAAUGCUGGAGAUAGAAUGAUAGAAUUUUGCAAAACCAAUGACUUCUUCAUUGCAAACACCUCCUUUCACCAACAUAAAUGGUGACUAUACACAUGGACCUCGCCAGGUGGAACACACGGGAAUCAAAUCGACUACAUCCGUGGAAAGAGAUGAUGGAAAAGCUCAAUAUCAUCAGUCAGAACAAGGCCGGGGCCCACUGUGGAACAGAUCAUCAACUGCUCAAAUGCAAGUUCAAGUUGAAACUGAAGAAAAUCAGAACAAGUCCACAAGAGCCAAAAUACAACCUUGAGUAUAUCCCACCUGAAUUUAGAGACCAUCUCAAGAAUAGAUUUGACCUGCUGAACACUAAUUAAUGACUGAAGACCAGACAAGUUGUGGAAUGACAUCAAGGACAUCAUAUACGAAGAAAGCAAGAGGUCAUUGAAAAGGCAGGAAAGAAAGAAAAAAACAAAAUGGAUGUCAGAGGAGGCUCUGAAUCUUGUUCUCGAAUGUCAAGCAGCUAAAGCAAACAGAAGAAAUGACAAAGUAAAAGAACAGAAGAUUUCAAAGGGUGACACAAGAAGACAAAGUAAAGUUUAUAAUGACAUGUGCAAAGAGCUGGAGAUAGAAAGCCAAAAGGGACCAACAAGCUUGGCAUUUCUCAAGCUGAAAGAACUGAAGAAAAAAUUCAAGCCUCGAGUUGCAAUAGUGAAGGAUUCUAUUGGGAAAAUAUUAAACGACACAGGAAGCAUCAAAAGAAGAUGGAAGGAAUAUACAGAGCCAUUAUACCAAAAAGAAUUAGUCGGCGUUCAUCCAUUUCAAGAGGUAGCAUAUGAUCAGGAACCGAUGGUACUGAAGGAAGAAGUCCAAGCUACUCUGAAGGCAUGAGUGAAAAACAAGGCUCCAGGAAUACCAAUUGAGAUGUUUCAACAAACAGAUACAGCACUAGAAGUGCUCACUCGUCUAUACCAAGAAAUACGGAAGACAGCUUCCUAGAACAGAUCCAUAUUUAUGCCUAUUCCCAAGAAAGGUGAUUCAACCGAAUGCAGAAAUUAUUAAACAAUCAAUAUUAUCAACAUCACAAGCAAGCAAAAUUUUGCUGAAGAUCAUUCAAAAGUGGCUGCAGCAGUGUAUCGACAGGGAACUGCCAGAAAUUCAGGCUGGUUUCAGAAGAGGACGUGGAACCAGGAAUAUCAUUGCUGAUGUCAGAUGGAUCCUGGCUGAAAACAGAGAAUACCAGAAGGAUGUUUACCUGUGUUUUAUUGACUAUGCAAAGGAAUUGGACUGUGUGGAUCAUAACAAAUUAUGGAUAACAUUGCAAAGAAAGGGAAUUCCAGAACACUUAAUUGUGCUCAUGAGGAACCUGUGCAUAGAUCAAGAGGCAGUUGUUCAGACAGAACAAGGGGAUACUGAGUGGUUUAAAGUCAGAAAAAGUGGGCAUCAGGGUUGUAUCCUUUCACCAUACCUAUUCAAUCUGUAUGCUGAGCAAAUAAUCUAAGAAGCUGCACUAUACAAAGAAGAAUGGGACAUCCGGAUUGGAAGAAGAGUCAUUAACAACCUGUGUUAUGCGGGUGACACAACCUUGUUUGCUGAAAGUGAAGAGGACUUGAAGUACUUACUAAUGAAGAUCAAAGACCACAGCCUUCAGUAUAGAUUACACCUCAACAUAAAGAAAACAAAAAUCCUCACAACUGGACCAAUGAGCAACAUCAUGAUAAACGGAGAAAAGAUUGAAGUUGUCAAGGAUUUCAUUUUACUUGGAUCCACAAUCAACAUCCAUGGAAGCAGCAGUCAAGAAAUCAAAAGAUGCAUCGCAUUGGGCAAAUCUGCUGCAAAGGACCACUUUAAAGUGUUGAAAACCAAAGAUGUCACCUUGAAGACUAAGGUGCACCUACCUGAACCAAGCCAUGGUAUUUUCAAUCGCCUUGUAUGCAUGUGAAAGCUGGACGAUGAAUAAGGAAGACUGAAGAAGAAAUGACUUCUUUGAAUUGUGUUGGAGAAGAAUAUUGAAUGGACUGCCAAAAGAACGAACAAAUCUUUCUUCAAAGAUGUGCAACCAGAGUGUUCCUUAGAAGCAAGGAUGGUGAGACUGCAUCUUACAUACUUUAGACAUGCUGUCAGGAUGGAUCAGUCCCUGGAGAAGGACAUCAUGCUUGGUAAAGUAUGGGAUCAGCAGAAAAGAGGAAGACCCUCAACAAGAUGGAUUGACACAGUGGCUGCAACAAUAAGCUCAAGCAUAACAACGAUUGUAAGGAAGGUGCAGGACCAGGCAGUGUUUCAUUCUGUUGUGCAUGGGGUUGCUAUGAGUCAGAACUGACUCAAUGGCACCUAACAAGAACAACAACAUAUGCCUGACAUCAUGCAUAGCGUGUAGGAAAGCUAUGUGAUAAAGUAAAAAUAGGAGGCCUAUAGGAUAUAAAGUGAAUUCUAUGUACAACCUGCCCUUAAGUAAUUCCUAAUCAUGUUGGAGAGAGAACAAAAUUCAUAAUUAAAUGCUAAGAUAAAAGAAGGCAUAGGAUUCUACAGAAGUGUGGAAAAGGGGCAACAAAAUCAAAUUGAGGAGUAGGAAAGAUUUCCUGGCAAGCUAAGUGUUAAAAGAUGAGCUAAAUGAAAAAGGUGAGCUAGGAAGGAGUCCCCAGGUGGCUCAAACAGUUAAGCAUGAGACUUCUAACCAAAAGGUUAGCAGUUCAAACCCACCCAGAGGCACUCUGGAAGAAAGUCAUAGGAAUAUGCUUCCAAAAGGUCAUAGCCUAUACGGUAUGGUUCUAUUCUGGAAUACACAGGGUCACCAUGAGUUGGAAUUGACUCAAAGGCAAAUGGUUUAGGAAGGAGAGGGCUUAUUAAGAAAAAAAAAAUGUAUAUAUAUGUAUAUAUAUGAAAGAGAUUAUGACUUUCAAUUAGUAAACUAUAAAUAAUUCACUAUGAUAUGUCUUUACUUAUAAACUUUUGCCUAGGCAUGGACCAGUAACCUGAAAUUUGCCUCCAAACUUGGAGGGUGCUGAGAGACCACAGAAAGAGGUGGGCAACUCCAGUGUGGUGGUGAAGGAGUUUUAUUAGGGAGAUUUGCAUACCAAGGCAGUAGUCCCCAGUGGCAGGAAGAUCAAAGCAGAUCUCUGCACCCAGCAGUAGGGGGGGUAGAGGUUUUACAGUGGUCAAGGACAAAAGUGGCUCCGUGCCAGGGUGCUAUAUAAGACUGGUUCAGCAAGGUCAUGUAACAAGGGAUUGGAAAACAGCAGUGAACUAAUGGAAACAGCAGUGAACUAACAGAAAGCAUGAGUGCAGCCACGUUCAGCCUCACAAAGGCUGUUUUUCCCUUCAAGUUUCAAUUUAAGAACAUUCAUAAAUACAAAGGUACAUUCCCAAGCAAAGGUGUAUCAACUCUUGCAGACUCACCAGAAGAAGUUAGUGGGAUGAGGAAAUUUUAGUCCUAGUCAUGUGACUGUUAUGUUAUUUCUUAAUCUGUGGCAAGCUCACAUGACUGCUUUAGUGAAACAAUCAGGGCAGACUGAGGUGGACUAGAGAGCAUGUGUCUCAUCUGAAGUGGUGGGCGGCUCCCCACACCAGCUGAUUUUACCUUGCCAGAAUUUGGCCUCAGUUCUGCCAUGUCUUUCAUUUCUCAAGACAAAUCAGAAACCUACUUAAAUAUUGAUAACUAAUUCAAAAAGUUUUAAAUGUUAUACAGACAACAAAAAACUUGUGAGGCUGGAUUCAGUUUGUGGCCUUUGAACUUUGGAUAUUUAAUGUGUUUUCCCUUAGUUUUGAGUAUUUUGCAAAAACUACAAAUGCUCACAUUUAGUAAGAACAAAUACAGGGGGCACAGAGCAAGAUGGCAAAGUGAGUGGAUGUUCCCAUCUGCUCCUCCAGCAACUAACUCACCAAACAAUGAAUAAAAAUGAGCACAGGCUGAGAUCUCAGAACUCUAGACAACAACUGAGGAAUUGGAGAAUCCAGAUGAGUGCAGACGUGGAGGAGAGGAGGAAUGGAGUCAGCACAGAAACUGAGAGAUCCUGCCUGCUAACAUCAGGAGCACGAGCUCAUCGCAGCCAUUUUAGGACACGACUAGGUAACAUCCCAAGCAGAGAAUACAGAAAGGGAGCUAAUCUGAGGACACACUAGCCAGUUUUUUUAAGGCAGUGGAAGUUGGCCAUGGGAGGCUGCGCAAGUGAGAGAGGGUGAAGGAAGACCUCAGUGCUGCGUGAGAGUACUGUUGAACCUCACUAAGGCCUGAAACUAAUGGGCAGUAGGAUCAGGAAGAGCUGCAAGGCCAACAGGGGGAGGGGAAUGGUCCAGACUGAAAGGCGAGCAGGAGGCAGCCCCCCAGCAAGGCACUGGGUAGUGGUUUGCCAGUACAACAGGCACCAGUGAGGGAAAGACCAAAAAAAAAAAAAGAAAACCCUCACUGUCACCACAGUAAAGUCCACCCCCACCACACAUACCAGCAGAGGUGCUCAGUGAAUCCCUCCUCCUGCACAUGUGUAUUGAAUCCCAGAGACCAAGCAUAUGGAUCUCUUGAAUUUUCCCACAAUAAACAGAAUAAAAAAUUUAAAGAAAAAAUAACAAAAUGGCCUAAAUUCAACAAAAACUAAUAAAAAAUACAAAAGCACAAGAAGAAACACUCGAAAACAAAACAUGUACAAGAGAAAAUCUCUUCUCUGGAGGCUAGAAUAAUGCAAAGAAUUGAUAAUUUUCAUACUGUGGUGCUAAAUAUGUUUAAAGAAAGCAAAGAACACACAGAAAACAAACUAGCAGAGUUCAGGAAGCAAAUGGAGGAAAAAAAUGAGAGCUUCAACAAGGAAUAUGAAAACAUUAAAAAGAGAGAGAACUGCUGGAACUGAAGAAUAAAACAUCUGAAUUAGAAAAAGCAAGAGAAACACUCAACAAUAGAGUUGGACAAGCAGAAGAUAGACUAUGUGAAUUAGAAGACAAAAUAUCUGAAUCUGUCAAGUCUCAAGAAAAACGAGAAAAGAACAAAGAAAAGCAAACAAAACGAAAAAGAAAUGUGAGAUUCAAUUAAGAAAUCUAACAGAAUUAUAUGAAUUCUAGAGCACCAAGACAACAAUAAAGGCAUAGAAACAAUUUCUCAGACCUAAGCAGAGAGUCAAAUCUGCAAACACAGGAAACUACAUGGAAUUGGAAGAGACACAAAAAGAUCAACUCCACAACAUAUUCUAGUAAAAUUCUUGAAAACCAAAGAUAAAGAGAGAAUUUUGAAAGCAGCAAGAGAAAAACAAUUUAACAUACCAAGGGAGUUUCAUAAGAAUAAGUGUGGAUUUCUCCCCAGAAAAUCUAGAGGCCAGAAGAUAAUGGAGUGAUGUAUAUAAAAUACUGAACCAAAACAAUUGCCAACCAAGAAUACUUUACCCACCAAAGUUGUCAUUC